rfam:Brachypodium distachyon strain Bd21 chromosome 3, whole genome shotgun sequence.
UACAUACUUCCUCCGUCCAACAAAAGAUGUCUUAAGUUUGUCAAAAUUUGGAUGUAUCUAGACAUGACUUAGUGUAUAGAUGCAUUCAAAUUUAGUCAAAGUUUAGACAUCCUUUGUUGGACGGAGGAAGUAUAUU